rnacentral:rRNA from 1 species
CAAUAGCGUAUAUUAAAGUUGUUGCAGUUAAAAAGCCCGUAGUUGGAUUUCUGUCUCGAGGCAGACCGUCCUUCGAUUCGAUGUGUACGUGUCAUGUCUUGGACAUCCUUCUAGUGAGCGUGUUCGCACUUGACUGUGCGGCGCGUGCGCUAGAACAGUUACUUUGAGAAAAUUAGAGUGUUUCAAGCGGGUGUAUGCCCCGAAUACUACAGCAUGGAAUAACGAAAUAGGACUUUAGUUCUGUUUUGUUGGUUCUUGGGACUGAAGUAAUGAUUAAUAGGGAUAGUUGGGGGCAUUCGUAUUUGACUGUCAGAGGUGAAAUUCUUGGAUUUGUCAAAGACGAACUACUGCGAAAGCAUUUGCCAAGGAUGUUUUCAUUAA